rnacentral:rRNA from 1 species
AGUGAACGCUGGCGGUAGGCCUAACACAUGCAAGUCGAACGGCAGCACAGUAAGAGCUUGCUCUUACGGGUGGCGAGUGGCGGACGGGUGAGGAAUACAUCGGAAUCUACUUUUUCGUGGGGGAUAACGUAGGGAAACUUACGCUAAUACCGCAUACGACCUACGGGUGAAAGCAGUGGAUCUUCGGACCUUGCGCGAUUGAAUGAGCCGAUGUCGGAUUAGCUAGUUGGCGGGGUAAAGGCCCACCAAGGCGACGAUCCGUAGCUGGUCUGAGAGGAUGAUCAGCCACACUGAACUGAGACACGGUCCAGACUCCUACGGGAGGCAGCAGUGGGGAAUAUUGGACAAUGGGCGCAAGCCUGAUCCAGCCAUACCGCGUGGGUGAAGAAGGCCUUCGGGUUGUAAAGCCCUUUUGUUGGGAAAGAAAAGCAGCAGGUUAAUACCCCGCUGUUCUGACGGUACCCAAAGAAUAAGCACCGGCUAACUUCGUG